AUUUUUAAAAGUGUCUCUGAUUUAAACUUCAUAAGCAACAUAAAAUGUUGAAAAAGUUCAAUUCACUUCUAUGAAUCAGUUCAGACCAGUGUUAUUUCAGGAUUAUUUAGCUUUUAUUUUUUCUAUUACGAGUUUUUAUUUUAAUUUCAGCAAUUUUAUUACGCAAUUUUUUAUGUUUCUGUUUAGCUUUAAUUUUAUUUCAUUUUUAGACCUUCAACUUAAGUACUGUUUGUAUACUAUUAUAGUGAUUAUAAAUUAUUUGAAAGAGCUUUUAUUUUUAUGUUAUGUUUAUGUCAUUUAGAUGUUUGUAAUUUAAUGUGGUUUUGUAUUUAUUAGGUCAUAUUUUUUCAUAUUUAUCUUUAUUUUAUUUAUAUUUGUGUUUUAGUUUAAUACUGCAACUUAAACAUUUUAUUUCAUUUAGUUUUUUAAGUUUGUUUUUCAUAUGUAAUUUAUAUUUGACAGUUA